CCGGAGAAGGCGACGCAGAAAGUAGAGCUGUGCUUUUUACAAUUAUAGAGCCAUUUUCUCCAUCCUAGUUGUUUGGCUUAUUAGGAGCACAUCACAGGAUUUGGGGUAGAAAAAUAGGGUGGCGCCAGGAACAGAAGAGGCAAGAAGGCCAGUUGGCUUUUUUGUUUGGUUUUAGAUGUGGUCUUGAACCCUCCUGUAGCACAGGAUGAGUAGUUUGUGGUUCUCCUGCCUUUGCCUCUCAAGGGCUGGAAUUACAGGUGUGCAGCACCACAACCAAUUUAUAUGAUGCUGGGGACCAAAGAAGGGUCUCUUACAUGCUACUUACGGACCUGCCAGCCAAGCUGCAUCCCCAGCAGGACGUGCUUUACUGAAGAUGUCAGUACAUCAAUCAACUACGUGGCUUUUGAUACAGGUGGAUGGCUGGUUGCUAAUUUACCACAGCAUAGUACUUAAGCCUUAGGAUUUAGAGGAGGUGUACUCUUACUCAGGGUAAGAACUAGAACAUGGGAAUCAAGGACACUGUUUGCUUGAUGUACUUUUCUCUUUAGUCCACCAGUCCCAGCCAUGCCGUGGUAGCCAAUGUUCAGCACGUCUUGCAUCUGAUGAAGCAUCACAGCAGAGCCCUGUGCAAUGACCGGGUUGUUAACAGUGUGCCCUUGGCAAAGCAAGCUUGUUCACGAGGUAGUAAGAGUAAGAAGUCAGUGGCGCCUCCCUCCAGCAGUGUUAACGAAGAACUUUCGGAUGUCUUACAGACGUUACAGGAUGAAUUUGGGCAAAUGAGCUUUGACCACCAGCAGCUUACUAAACUCAUACAGG
rnacentral:lncRNA from 1 species